rnacentral:rRNA from 1 species
CGAACGGGUGAGUAACGCGUGAGGAACCUGCCUCAAAGAGGGGGACAACAGUUGGAAACGACUGCUAAUACCGCAUAAGCCCACGGCUCGGCAUCGAGCAGAGGGAAAAGGAGCAAUCCGCUUUGAGAUGGCCUCGCGUCCGAUUAGCUAGUUGGUGAGGUAACGGCCCACCAAGGCGACGAUCGGUAGCCGGACUGAGGGGUUGAACGGCCACAUUGGGACUGAGACACGGCCCAG